UUAACGUCCGUAACGAGCGCAACCCUUGUCCUUAGUUACCAGCACGUUAGUGGUGGGCACUCUAAGGAGACUGCCGGUGACAAACCGGAGGAAGGUGGGGAUGACGUCAAGUCAUCAUGGCCCUUACGGCCUGGGCUACACACGUGCUACAAUGGUCGGUACAAAGGGUUGCCAAGCCGCGAGGUGGAGCUAAUCCCAUAAAAACCGAUCGUAGUCCGGAUCGCAGUCUGCAACUCGACUGCGUGAAGUCGGAAUCGCUAGUAAUCGUGAAAUCAGAAUGUCACGGUGAAUACGUUCCCGGGCCUU
rnacentral:rRNA from 1 species